rnacentral:rRNA from 1 species
AGUGAACGCUGGCGGUAGGCCUAACACAUGCAAGUCGAACGGCAGCACAGUAAGAGCUUGCUCUUACGGGUGGCGAGUGGCGGACGGGUGAGGAAUACAUCGGAAUCUACUUUUUCGUGGGGGAUAACGUAGGGAAGCUUACGCUAAUACCGCAUACGACCUACGGGUGAAAGCAGGGGAUCUUCGGACCUUGCGCGAUUGAAUGAGCCGAUGUCGGAUUAGCUAGUUGGCGGGGUAAAGGCCCACCAAGGCGACGAUCCGUAGCUGGUCUGAGAGGAUGAUCAGCCACACUGGAACUGAGACACGGUCCAGACUCCUACGGGAGGCAGCAGUGGGGAAUUUUGGACAAUGGGCGCAAGCCUGAUCCAGCCAUACCGCGUGGGUGAAGAAGGCCUUCGGUUUGUAAAGCCCUUUUGUUGGGAAAGAAAAGCAGCAGGUUAAUACCCCGCUGUUCUGACGGUACCCAAAGAAUAAGCACCGGCUAACUUCGUG